GAUGAACGCUGGCGGCGUGCCUAACACAUGCAAGUCGAACGGAGCUGCUUUGAUGAAGUUUUCGGAUGGAUUUAAAACAGCUUAGUGGCGGACGGGUGAGUAACGCGUGGGUAACCUGCCUCACACUGGGGGAUAACAGUUAGAAAUAGCUGCUAAUACCGCAUAAGCGCACGGUUCCACAUGGAACAGUGUGAAAAACUCCGGUGGUGUGAGAUGGACCCGCGUCUGAUUAGCCAGUUGGCGGGGUAACGGCCCACCAAAGCGACGAUCAGUAGCCGGCCUGAGAGGGUGAACGGCCACAUUGGGACUGAGACACGGCCCAAACUCCUACGGGAGGCAGCAGUGGGGAAUAUUGCACAAUGGGGGAAACCCUGAUGCAGCGACGCCGCGUGAGUGAAGAAGUAUUUCGGUAUGUAAAGCUCUAUCAGCAGGGAAGAAAGUGACGGUACCUGAAUAAGAAGCCCCGGCUAACUACGUG
rnacentral:rRNA from 1 species